UAGUGGCAGACGGGUGAGUAAUGUAUAGGAAUCUACCUAGUAGUACGGAAUAAUUGUUGGAAACGGCAACUAAUACCGUAUACGCCCUACGGGGGAAAAAUUUAUUGCUAUUAGAUGAGCCUAUAUUAGAUUAGCUAGUUGGUGGAGUAAUAGCCUACCAAGGCAAUGAUCUAUAGCUGAUCUGAGAGGAUGAUCAGCCACACUGGAACUGAGAUACGGUCCAGACUCCUACGGGAGGCAGCAGUGGGGAAUAUUGGACAAUGGGCGAAAGCCUGAUCCAGCCAUGCCGCAUGAGUGAAGAAGGCCUUUGGGUUGUAAAGCUCUUUUAGUGAGGAAGAUAAUGACGGUACUCACAGAAGAAGUCCUGGCUAACUCCGUGCCAGCAGCCGCGGUAAUACGGAGAGGGCUAGCGUUAUUCGGAAUUAUUGGGCGUAAAGGGCGCGUAGGCGGAUUAGUAAGUUAAAAGUGAAAUCCCAAGGCUCAACCUUGGAAUUGCUUUUAAAACUGCUAAUCUAGAGAUUGAAAGAGGAUAGAGGAAUUCCUAGUGUAGAGGUGAAAUUCGUAAAUAUUAGGAGGAACACCAGUGGCGAAGGCGUCUAUCUGGUUCAAAUCUGACGCUGAGGCGCGAAGGCGUGGGGAGCAAACAGGAUUAGAUACCCUGGUAGUCCACGCUGUAAACGAUGAAUGUUAAAUAUGGGAAGUUUUACUUUCUGUAUUACAGCUAACGCGUUAAACAUUCCGCCUGGGGACUACGGUCGCAAGAUUAAAACUCAAAGGAAUUGACGGGGACCCGCACAAGCGGUGAGCAUGUGGUUUAAUUCGAUGCAACGCGAAAAACCUUACCACUCCUUG
rnacentral:rRNA from 2 species